CUGAAUAAAAUUCGGAGAAACUUGACAUUCUGAAAUUAGAUUUACCUCACUAAAAUAUUGUUGGAAUUUAAAAGGUCAUAUUCAUUUUGUACAACUAAUCCUUUAGUUCUCCUGUUAUAUUCCUACUUAUGAUUACUUAUGUUUUUUAUUGGAAAGCAUAAAAAUAUUUUGAAAGUAAAAUGGUAAAAUUAUGAAAUAUUUUUAUCUUAAUUACAAAACAAUACUUACUUUCUUCCAGCUUUUUCUCUGUUUUUAAAAAUCAACUGUCCCUUUUGAAGAGAUUUUACCACACACAUAGAUGCAAAAGCGAGGGAAAAUAGUUCAAAAUACUGUUGAAUUAAAUAAAGCCAAGGAAUCUUAAACCAAUGGUUUAUUUGUAUAGGAGGGAUCGAGUCAAUACUUACCCAUUCUUGAAAAGGAAAAUCUGAAAGCGGAAGAUUUGUAUAAGCCUUUCCUUAAUUUUAAGAAGCAUGUAUUAAGGAUUUACUUUAUGUCAGACUACAUUUUAGUCACUGGAAAUAUAAAAAUGAAUAGUACAGUCCUUUCUCUCAAUGGAAUUGUGAUCCAGUGAAAUGUUAAGUUCAAACCCCUAAAGUUGCAUCAAUUUUUCAGGUCAAAAAUGGUUAAAUAUCAGUUCUGCCUAAAUAUAUAUGUAAAUAGAAAUUUGCAAUAAUAGAGAUAUGAACAAGGUGCUACGUGCCCUGAAAAAGUGCUUUGUGCUGCCUAGAGGAGUCUGUGUAGAUUUUCCAGAGGAGAUGACAUUUGAGCUGAGUUUCAGAAAAUGACUGGGUGUUCACCAUGUGUUCAUGGGAAGCAAAGAGAGUGCGCACAUUCCAGCAAUAGGAAACAGGAUGUGCAGAGUUUUUGAACCGAGAAAGAGCCUAGCAUAUGUGGGAAACUGCAAGUAUUUCAUAUUGGUUGGAAUGCUGGGUAUGCUGUGGGUGACAGGAGAAGAGGCAGGCAAAGUAAGCAGAGGACAGAUCGUGUGAGGUGGGAUAUAUCAAGCCAAAGAGUUUGAUUUUAUCCUUUGUGAUGAGAUGGGUAUAAUCCACAGUAUGCGAGGCAAUCUGUUAGGGUUCAGAAAGAAAAUAUUACUACUCCUUUGUAUAUUUACCUUUGUCUUGUCUUUUUAAAUUUUCUAAUUGUGUAAGGAUUACAGUGUAUAUAAUUCUUAACUGCAGUAGUGGGUAUAAGUAAUUUAUAAAUAAAUAAAUAUAUGUGUAUUAUGGUGCCGUAUGGGUUGAAUUGCAUCCCUCCACAGAAUUUGUUGAAAUGUUAACCUCAGGUGUUUCAGAAUGUGACCCUAACUGAAAACAGAGUCAUUGUAGAUGCAGUUAGUUAAGAUGAGGUUGUACUAGAGUACAGUUGGCCCCUAAUCUAGUAUGACUGGUGUCCUUACAAAAAGGCAAACAUGACAUCGAGAUGAAGGUAGACAUUGAGGUAAUGCUCCUCUAAGCCAGGGAACUCCAAGAUUGCCAAUCUUCUGUUAGGAGCUAGAGGAGAAGCAUGGAACGGAUCCCUCCCUUACAGCCCUCAGAGGAAACUAUCCAUGCUGACACCUUGAUCUUGGACUCCCAGUCUCCCAAACUGUGAGACAUAAUACUCUGUUGUUUAAGCCACCUAGUUUGUGGUACUUUGUCACAACAGUCCUGGAGAACGAAUGCAUGGUACAUGAUCAGAAAGUUUGGAAACCCUGAUCAGAUGAUAAGGAGCAAAGGAAGAGUUGGUUUGUGUUUUAGUUAGAACUAUUUAUCUCCUGUCAUUAUUGAGUCUCAAUAUUCAGUGAUUUACUUUAGCUUAAUUUCUUGCCUUUACAGUACUUUACUUCUUAAAAACAUAGUUUGAAAACAAAUUGUUCACAUUUGUGUUUAGUAUAGUUUGUGUUAAAGGAAGGAGAAAUUAGAAAAUAUUUACCUUUAGCUCAAAACAGACAGGGUGAUAAUAUGUAACACUUUGGGGGGAAAAUUACAUUUAAGAAAGAGUAUUUUUUCUGGGGUUUUUUUUUCCUUUUCUUUUUGAAAAAAGAGUAUCACUUAAACCCAUUAGGCAGAAGUGGAACUAAAAUCAGAAACAGAGUCCUAUCAACAGAAGUCAUAGCUGUGAAGAAUUUAAUAGUAUAUCAUCAGUGUAGGGAAGACUGUAGGCAAAAUAUGUAUUAUUCUAGCUACAUAAUUUUCAAGUAUUAAGGACAGUCAGUCCUUUUUAUAGAAAUUAUAUGUUAGUCAUUUGAGGUUCCAAAACAAAAUGAUCAAGAGAGUUUUCAACGCCAGCAAUGAUAUCCUACACUCAGAUGUAUAUAUUUGAAGCGUAUUUGUAAGUCUGCAAAAUCUAGAAGUCAGCAAUACAUUAUUUAAUUAAUAAUAUUAAUAUAAAGUAUAUUUUAUGAAUUAUAUUUGGGGCAUUUUAGAUCUUUGUGGGCCAUGGAAUAGUUGAUAAUUUUUGGCCUUAUUUAUGCAAAUCAAAUGAAGCAUUUUGAAAUAUCACCACUUUUAAAAAAAAAUCCAUGUGUAUUUGUAAUAGUUCUGCCAUCAACUAGACAAGUAGUUUUCAGACUUUUUAAAGUAAGAGAAUCCUUUCUUCAAAUGAAUUCUUAUGUGGAAGCGAAAUAUGUAAUAACUACAUUAGGCAGCUUACUCCAUGACAGAGGGCUAUAUACCCUUGAUGUUUUAAAUCUUUGUUUCUUAUAUCUAGUCUGGAAGUUCUAUAUUUUGUGGAUGUAUAUUCUGUCUUCACUGUGUAAUAUGUUAGCAGAAUGAACAGGAAUUUACACGAUAUGGGAAUAAUAAAUAUCCCACUGACCUGUGAUACUAGGGCCUAUACUUGAAGUUGCUUUCCCACAGUGGAAUUGGAUUUAUAAGAAUCCAUCCAUCAUCUCUAAUGUGGUCCCCUUUGUGACCGACACAGCAGUCUGUGACCUAGAACUAGCUACUUGGCCAAGAAUGUAAUAUCUACUAUUCUCAUGACUUCUUCCCUUUUUCUGCUCUUACCUCUGUUCUUUUAGCAGUUUCUAUUUUCUCUCUGUUCGCUUAACUAUACCUUUGCUACCUUUGGACUCCAAUAAACUCAAAAACCGGUUUGUCCAGUUUCAUACAUGGUUAUUUUUUUCCCUCACCUAUGACUUACAGUCAUAUUGCUGUAAAGCUGAUAAAUAUUUGAAACUAUAUAUACUUUUUAUAUGCUUAGAUUAUUAUUUUAAAAAUAGCACUACAUGGAGAGGGGAUAGCAGUGGACUCAGAAUUAAGAGUUUUUGCAUUCAUGGCAUUUAUUAGAUGGCUCGUAUUUCUAAGAUCAAGAUAUGUCAGGUGCCAGUCUGACAGCCCAUACAUCACAAUUUAGAGACUUCUACCUUCCUGAAAUAUACAUUUAAAAGAAUGUAAAUAACAGACUAUUCAGAUAAUUGAUUGUCAGUGAAUCUUUUCAAUAAAAAUAUAAUCAGAGUCUUUAUUCUUUUAGCAAAUAUUUAUUGAGCCCCUACCAUGUGCUAACAGUCAUUAUGGUAAAUUUUAGGUAUACAGUGGCAAACUAAGUGAAUAUGACCCCAGCCUUACAGAAUAGAUGUAUUACACCAAAAAAAUCUGUGUGUGUGUGUGUAUAUAUCUAUAUAUAUAUAUAUGCUGGUAUGAGUUAUGAAGCAAAUAAACAGUUCUGCAGCAGGAGUAGAAGAAACUAUUUUAAAUAGAACAGUCAGAAAAGGAAUAGAAAGUGAAAAGAAAAGCAUUCUAGUCAGAGAAUAGCUUGUGCAAAGGCCCUGAGACAGAACAAGGUAGCUGGGCUUAUUCAAGGAACAAAUAGAAUAUUGAGUUUCUUGAGGAAAAGAUUAUUCUCUUUUGUCUAGAACAAUGUACUUUAAAUAAUAAGCACUAUAGAAAUAUUUGUGUAUAACUGAAUGACUAUCUGUAUACCUAGGAUGUAGUGAGUACAAGCUGAGGUUGCAAGGACUAGACUAUGCCAAGCCCUAUUAAAAAAAACCUCUGGGAUAUAAUUUACUUUUUAUAAAGCUUACUCAAAAUUAUGUGAGGAAUUGUUUGAUGGAGAUCAAAAAUGGAAGAAGGGAAACCCAGGUUCAUGGUACCGUAGAGGUUGAGAUCAAGAAAUCACUAAAUGACUGUUAGAGCCAGGGUCAGUGGGUUUAACAUCCUGCCCAUUUCACCUCUUGAACAGCUUAGUGAAGUGAAUGUAUCUGAUUUAUAUUUGCACCCCCCAGGGCAACCACAGCCCCUCAACCCCCAGACCAAGCCUAGAAAGAAAUUAACCUUUGGCUAAGAAUUCAAUCAAACCCUUUGAAAGUAAUUUCACAGUUUCUCCUGGGUCUUUGUAUUAUUGAGGGAGUGACCGUGUUAAACGAAGUAAAAGGGAACAUCAAGAAUGUGGAUUAUUCUACAAGAUAACUGAUGACUUGGUCUUGUUAAAAAAAAAAAAAGUCCAUGCCAUGGGGGAGAAAAAAGAAAAGAAACAUUCUGGUUAUCUGCUGCAGUUAUGCCCACUGAGUGUCUCUUCUGAAGAGAUUUUACCACACAUACAAAAGCAAAAGCAAGGGAAAAUCUUUUUUUAAAAUAUGGUUAUGCUCAAUAAAGCAUGAAACUUACACUAGUGGUUAUUCCUUUAGAAGGCUUGCCCCCUCACACCUCCUCUGGCACUGUUUGUGAGGGAAUAAGCUUCUUUUGUGGCGAUUCUAACCAUAGUUCUAGGCAGAGACCAGCAGAAUUGAACCUAGAGAUUGGCAGAGAAGUGUCUGGGAAGCUACAGAGUGAUCACUUGGUGGAUAAUUCAGAGGAACAUUCAGACGAAACCCCUUUUCACAGCAUAUACUAAAAAUAACCUUGAGUGCAGCUGCAAGGCUGACGGUUGUUUUACAGCAUUGAUCAGCACGUAGGUUCUCAGUGAAUGGGGAUUUGCUACCUCACAGAAUAGCCUGUUCUAUUUGAAUUUUCCUAGUUGAUAGAAACUUUUUUUUCACUGAGCUAAACAGUCCCGCUCUUAUUCCUACCCAUUGUAUGUAGUUUUACUCUCAAGAACCUUAAUAAGGCUAAUCCAUUUUGUUGGAAUUUAAAGAUUUAAUGUAUUUUGGAAUGGCUGCCUGCAACGCUUUUAAUCUUUUAAUCUGUUGCAAGAGAAGAUGGGACAGUGGCAAGAGUUAAAUUUGUUAGAUGGAGUAUACAAAGUGCCCCAUGUGAAGGCAAGUUUUGUCUUGAUGUGCCAGUCACUACAGCCUUUUUAACGAGACAGCUCAGUCUGCACCUGCACAACUGCCCGAUUUAUUCUCCUGGAUCUUAAAGGAACCCCAGCUCCAGGUGGGCAGGCCUCUGCUGGAGUAAAUACAAUAAUAACCAAAAAUAAUUAAAAGCCAGAUCACUUCCCUCCCCCAUUUGUAAGCCAUCUACAUAACUGGUAGAAUAGGAUCAAGAUACUCCUUUUGAGUUCUAGGAUACUCAUCCUCUCACUACCUUGCUCUUGAUGACCUGAUGCUUCCCAUUCCUGAGGUAAUGCCAGGUUCUGCAGAAAGGAAUGGCUGUCCCCUCGGCCACACUCUCCUCUCCGCAUAUUCAGUACUGCACUGUCCUGUGCCCUCUUUCUUCAGUAACUCUUCCUCUACUAGUUUUCCUCUUUCCAGAAAUGUAAUCUCUUAGCCAGGGGUGGCCUCCCUGUCAUUCUCUUCAGGUUGUAGUUCUACAAAUGUUUUGUUAUUGUUGUAUCAGGGCCUCUUGGGGGAGAAGAGAGAAAUAUGCACUGUCGGUCAGCCAACUUGAACCAGAAUAGUAGUUAAAAUCAUUUUGUAAUAUAACUAAAUCAUACCAAUGAUUUUUUUUAACAGUUCAGUUAUUCUUUUUGUAUAUUCACAAAGUUGUGCAACUAUCACCAUGAUCUAAUUGCAGAACAUUUUCAUCACGCCAGAGAAGACACAUACCAUUAGCAGUCACCCUCUAUUUCCUCUACUCUCCUGCCAGCCCUAGUCAAUCAUUAAUCUGCCUUGUCUCUAUAGAUUUGUCAUUACUGCCACUUGUUGAGGGGACAGGUGCAGAUAGGGAGAAAGGUGAUUUCUGGUCUGGAGGUGAGCCUCUGCUUUUGAUCUCUGCUUGAACCAUCCAGAAUUUGAAGUUAAAGCUCCUUGCUUCUUUGAAGAAGAUUAAUUUUCUUCAACCAUCUUUGCUCCAAAAAUAUUCACAGACAAUAUCUAUAAACAUAUAUGCACACCCCUCCCUGAAUUUAAUCUUUUUUUCCAUAACUUUAAUCUUAUUUCUUGGGAAUGACUAACCCUAGUAUACACACACGUGCACACACCCACUUUGCCCCGAUUUAUAUUUCACAUGCUUCUUGUCUAAUCUGACAAUGAACGACACCAUGCCUCAAACACUUUCCCCUAAUUCCCUAAUUCCUAGGCUUUUCCGAGCAGGCUGCCAUACCUGUAUCUUGCUGAUUUUACAUAAGGUAUCCAAAAUACUAAGUGACAGUGAAAGGUGGGAGACAGUAGAAUAAACCAUGGGGAAUGAUGUGGAGGAAAUACCUGCUUUGCCGUGUGUACAGCAGGAAGUGAACUUAGGAGACUAGGAGGGAUGGCAGGUCAGUGUGGGAAGGCUCUUCCGUGAGUACUUUUUCCAACCAGGGCAUCUGGGCCUCCCCAGCAACCCAACCCCUCAGGAGUGGUCCUUUGUGAUGUGUAAGCCCCCCACAGCCACCAUUGGUUGUGGGGAAUGCCCUGCUGACCAAACAAAGCAAAAUGGGCGUGACUCCUCACUGUCCUGGGGAGAGGUAUAUAUACCGAGGGCAGGCCUGGCAGACAGGUAGACAACUGAGAGGCUUCAACAUGGCAAAAGUGACCGAGAAAUCAUGGGAGCCACAAACCACAAGCACCAAGCGGUGGAAGAAGAGGAAGACCACCUCUCAGCCUGGAUCAAGAGGCAAGGUGCUGAAGAUAUAUAAGAAGGUAAAAAGACCACUCCAUGUGAGUUCAAGAAAAAAAUACUCUACUAAAGUUAUAACUACUUCAAGAAAGCAGAAGAGAGCGAGAAGGGGCAACAAGUUUCAGCCAAUCCUGUAGACUGAGCCAGAAGCAGCCAGGCCAGGCCCAGCGGUCUCUGUAGAACUAUACACCACUUUGAGAUAAGAUUCAAGCAAAGGGCACCUGCAGAGCAAGCUUCAGAGACUUCAGACAAUCUGCCGUAUCUAAAGUCCUGGCUGUGGAGAAAUGGCCAACUGCAUAGAGACUGGCUCAGACACUGAUGUCGAACAUGGAACACAAAUGGUGGUUAUUUAAAAAAAAAACAGCAAGGUGUAAGAAGCCCCUUGAAAAAAUAAAAUAAAAUUAGGCACUCUGCACAGAAAUGAA